CAGUCGCCGCGGGAAUACAGAGGGUUCGAGCGUUAAUCGGAUUUACUGGGCGUAAAGCGUGCGUAGGCGGCUUCUUAAGUCGGAUGUGAAAUCCCUGAGCUUAACUUAGGAAUUGCAUUCGAUACUGGGAAGCUAGAGUAUGGGAGAGGAUGGUAGAAUUCCAGGUGUAGCGGUGAAAUGCGUAGAGAUCUGGAGGAAUACCGAUGGCGAAGGCAGCCAUCUGGCCUAAUACUGACGCUGAGGUACGAAAGCAUGGGGAGCAAACAGGAUUAGAUACCCCUGUAGUCCCUGUCUCUUAUAC
rnacentral:rRNA from 1 species